UACGUAGGCAGCGAGCGUUGUUCGGAGUUACUGGGCGUAAAGGGUGUGUAGGCGGUUGUUUAAGUUUGGUGUGAAAUCUCCCGGCUCAACUGGGAGGGUGCGCCGAAUACUGAAUGACUUCGAGUGCGGGAGAGGAGAGUGGAAUUCCUGGUGUAGCGGUGAAAUGCGUAGAUAUCAGGAGGAACACCGGUGGCGAAGGCGGCCCUCUGGACGGUGACUGACGCUGAGACGCGAAAGCGUGGGGAGCAAACAGG
rnacentral:rRNA from 1 species